rnacentral:pre_miRNA from 1 species
CCUAAUUGCAAGGGACUCCUUCCGUCCUUCGUCUUAUAUGAAAUUUUUUUAUAAUUAGUAUUUUUAUUGUUGUUAGAUGAUAAAAUAUGAUUAAUACUUUAUGCAUGACUUAUCUUUUUAAUUUUUUUCAUAAUUUUUUCAAAUAAGGUGGACGGUCAAACUUUGGACACGGAAAUCAGGGUU